rnacentral:rRNA from 1 species
GCGGAGGAAAAGAAACCAACUGGGAUUACCUUAGUAACGGCGAGUGAAGCGGUAAAAGCUCAAAUUUGAAAUCUGGUACUUUCAGUGCCCGAGUUGUAAUUUGUAGAAUUUGUCUUUGAUUAGGUCCUGUCUAUGUUCCUUGGAACAGGACGUCAUAGAGGGUGAGAAUCCCGUUUGGCGAGGAUACCUUUUCUCUGUAAGACUUUUUCGAAGAGUCGAGUUGUUUGGGAAUGCAGCUCAAAGUGGGUGGUAAAUUCCAUCUAAAGCUAAAUAUUGGCGAGAGACCGAUAGCGAACAAGUACAGUGAUGGAAAGAUGAAAAGAACUUUGAAAAGAGAGUGAAAAAGUACGUGAAAUUGUUGAAAGGGAAGGGCAUUUGAUCAGACAUGGUGUUUUUUGCAUGCACUCGCCUCUCGUGGGCUUGGGCCUCUCAAAAAUUUCACUGGGCCAACAUCAAUUCUGGCAGCAGGAUAAAUCAUUAAGAAUGUAGCUACUUCGGUAGUGUUAUAGCUUUUUGGAAUACUGUUAGCCGGGAUUGAGGACUGCGCUUCGGCAAGGAUGUUGGCAUAAUGGUUAAAUGCCGCCCGUCUUG